CUCAGUACCCGAUUGUCAGCAGUACCCGAUCCGUGCCGCCUGUCCAAUCUGUUUUGCGCAUGCGCAUAAUUGUGCGCAUGCGCAGAAGCUCAACUUGUUUUACGACAGUUUACGACCCUACCUGAUCUGUUCUACGCAUGCGCGACAACCGGCAGUUUAAAAAUAGUGAAGAAAUGCGUCAUAUAAGAACACCGGCGAACAUAUGGAGGCUAAGUCAUUCGUAUAAAGGACCAACAUGGACCAGUAUUUAUUUCAUGCUGCCCUUCGGCAGUACCUACUGAGCGGGAUGUUGAUGUUGCGGUUGACUGGAAGAGAGUCAUGCGGGUGGCCAACCACUUCGUUGUAGAUGGUUUGUCCAUGCUGAUGGCUAUGCAGCAUAGUUGAAGCAGACCUGUCAGAAAACUUCUCUAAGGUGCUAUGAAUCAUAUGACUAGAUACACAUCCUAAAAUUACUAGAGGUUACGGAAGCUCCUUUUUGGAUCCAGCUUCAUUUGUGAAGACUUCAGAUGAUGCCAACACUCACAGAGGCUUAAGACGAUGGCAACAAUAGAUGGACAUACAAAAUUGCCAAAUAUAAUAUUGUAAUUACUGCCCCAAAGCGCAUGUUUGCCGAUUUUUAACCCACUUUACAUUGUUACAAAUACAAUAGAUGCUAACAUUUGAACAGAAAAUGUUUCCUCUUUAUUCUUGAGUUAAUUGUGCUGAUUUAUUCCCAUUUUUUUAUCCACAAUUCUUUGCCAAAAUGAUGUUUUGCAUCAUCCAAAUGGUUCAUUUUUAAAUUACAGACAUUGUAACAACACAAAGUGGGUUGAAAUUCUGCCAACUUACCCUAUAAUAAUAAUUGUCUUUUAACUGAACAGGACUUUAAACACAUGACUUGUAUUAACUUAGAGCUAUUGUGAAAUUAAUAUUGUUUUGUUUCCAGAACAUUCUCCUCAGUGAGUCACUGUUACCUCAGACUGAUUAAGGGAUUUUUUUGUAACCUUGAAACAUGCAUUGGUUUUAUUAUGGUAAAACUGCAUAUCUUAUUUCAAACCAAGGUUUUGUAACCAUGGUUCUACUUCAGUAACAUUAUAGUAAUGCUGGAGUGAAACUGUGGUAACCAUAUUAUUUUAAAUCAUGGUAAAGUUUGUGGUUACUAAAAUGCACUUCUAUAUGCUGUUGUAAGAGCAUGAUUUUUAUUUAUUUAUUAAUAAACCAUGGUUGAUUUUAUUUUUACUGUGGUUUUACUGCAAAUUAUGGUAAAAAAAAAUUAUAGAUAACUUUUGCAUGGGUACAGAAAAAAAGUGUAAACUGAAAGUCACGUUGGUUAAAUGCAUCUGAUAAAUGUAAAUGGAUUUGUAUAUUUAUUCUGUUUACUGAAAAUAAUACAUUUGCAGUUGCUAUUG